UACGGAGGGGGCUAGCGUUGUUCGGAAUUACUGGGCGUAAAGCGCGCGUAGGCGGCUUUGUAAGUUAGAGGUGAAAGUCCUGGGCUUAACCUGGGGACUGCAUUUGAUACUGGGUUGCUUGAAUUCGGGAGAGGAUAGCGGAAUUCCCAGUGUAGAGGUGAAAUUCGUAGAUAUUGGGAAGAACACCGGUGGCGAAGGCGGCUAUCUGGACCGACAUUGACGCUGAGGCGCGAAAGCGUGGGGAGCAAACAGG
rnacentral:rRNA from 1 species